CACGUGAGCAGCACGGACAAGCCACAUGGAGCUAUGUGUUGCCAGUUCCUGACGACCAAGAAUGGGGUGGUGCAACUGCAGUGCACACAAGUGUAGGAACGCAAACAGACCCUUGCACAUGGUUCUCGGAGGUGGAUAUGCCGAGCCUCUUCUUUUGUUGUUUCAAAGAAUGUGAAGCUGAGACGCAGGUUGUUCUUCCCUGCAAGAAGGAAAGCAAGGAUGGAUCAUGGGGAACAUCCUACGACGUCAAGGACGCUGCAUGUGAUGCUAUGAACGUUGACCACACGACCUGAAGCCCUGGCUUCU